rnacentral:rRNA from 1 species
GAUUAACGCUGGCGGCAUGCCUUACACAUGCAAGUCGAACGGCAGCACGGGAGCAAUCCUGGUGGCGAGUGGCGAACGGGUGAGUAAAGUAUCGGAACGUGCCUAGUCGUGGGGGAUAACGUAGCGAAAGUUACGCUAAUACCGCAUACGAUCUAUGGAUGAAAGCGGGGGAUCGCAAGACCUCGCGCGAUUGGAGCGGCCGAUAUCAGAUUAGGUAGUUGGUGGGGUAAAGGCUCACCAAGCCGACGAUCUGUAGCUGGUCUGAGAGGACGACCAGCCACACUGGGACUGAGACACGGCCCAGACUCCUACGGGAGGCAGCAGUGGGGAAUUUUGGACAAUGGGCGAAAGCCUGAUCCAGCCAUGCCGCGUGCAGGAUGAAGGCCUUCGGGUUGUAAACUGCUUUUGUACGGAACGAAAAGGUUUGGCCUAAUAAGCUGAGCUCAUGACGGUACCGUAAGAAUAAGCACCGGCUAACUACGUGCCAGCCGCCGCGGUAA